rnacentral:rRNA from 1 species
UACGAAGGGGGCGAGCGUUGUUCGGAAUUACUGGGCGUAAAGGGCGCGUAGGCGGUGUGUCAAGUCAGGCGUGAAAGCCCCGGGCUCAACCUGGGAACGGCGCUUGAGACUGGCACGCUCGAGUUCGGGAGAGGAUGGUGGAAUUCCCGGUGUAGAGGUGAAAUUCGUAGAUAUCGGGAGGAACACCAGUGGCGAAGGCGGCGAUCUGGGAAGAUACUGACGCUGAGGUGCGAAAGCGUGGGGAGCAAACAGG